rnacentral:rRNA from 1 species
UACGUAGGGUGCGAGCGUUGUCCGGAAUUAUUGGGCGUAAAGAGCUCGUAGGCGGUGUGUCACGUCGUUCGUGAAAACCUGCAGCUUAACUGUGGGCGUGCGGUCGAUACGGGCAUCACUGGAGUUCGGCAGGGGAGACUGGAAUUCCUGGUGUAGCGGUGAAAUGUGUUGAUAUUGGAAGGAACGCCGGUGGCGAAAGCGACACACUGGGCCUUGUCUGACGCUGAGGCACGAAAGCCAGGGGAGCAAACGGG